CCCUUAGAUGUUCUGGGCCGCGCGCGCGCUACACUGAUGCAUUCAACGAGUCUAAAACCUGCUCUGAUAGGGGUGGGUAAUCUUUUGAAUGUGCAUCGUGAUUGGGAUAGAUGAUUGCAAUUUUUCAUCUUCAACGAGGAAUGCCUAGUAAACGCAAGUCAUCAGCUUGCAUUGAUUACGUCCCUGCCCUUUGUACACACCGCCCGUCGCUCCUACCGAUUGAAUGAUCCGAUGAAUAUCAUGGAUUGAGGAUGUAAGCAGGUUCGCCUGUCUUCAUCUUCGAGAAGUGAAGUAAAUCUUAUCAUUUAGAGGAAGGAGAAGUCGUAACA
rnacentral:rRNA from 1 species